ACCACAUCACUAACGGAAGGCAGCAGGCGCGCAAAUUAUCCACAAUCCCGAGACUGGGGAGGUAGUGACAAUAAAUACUGAUACAGGGCUCUUUUGGGUCUUGUAAUUGGAAUGAGUACAAUUUAAAUCCCUUAACGAGGAACAAUUGGAGGGCAAGUCUGGUGCCAGCAGCCGCGGUAAUUCCAGCUCCAAUAGCGUAUAUUAAAGUUGUUGCAGUUAAAAAGCUCGUAGUUGAACCUUGGGCCUGGUUGGUCGGUCCGCCUCAGCGCGUGCAAUUUGAUCCGACCGGGGCCUUUCCUUCUGGUGGAGCCGCAGUGCCCGUUCACUGGGUGUGUCGGGGAACCAGGACUUUUACUUUGAAAAAAUUAGAGUGUUCAAAGCAGGCCUAUGCUCGAAUACAUUAGCAUGGAAUAAUAGAUAGGACGUGUGGGUUCUAUUGGUAGGUUCUAGGACCGCGUAAUGAUUAAUAGGGAUAGUCGGGGGCAUCAGUAUUCAAAUUGUCCAGAGGUGAAAUUCUUGGAUUUAUUGGA
rnacentral:rRNA from 1 species